GUUAGUUGAUCCCCGAACAUAUGCCAAAACUGGAACAUACAGAGAAGAUAGCAUGAAUCUGUGCGAGGAUAACACGCAAAUUCAUGAAGGGUUCCAGUUUUUU
rnacentral:snRNA from 1 species